AAGAUUGAUUGAACAUUUCAGAUUCGAGAAGCAUUGAUUCAUCUUAUUUCUUUCUCUCUUUCUCUCUCUAACUCUUCUAUACAUUCUAGGGUUUUACUUCAUCAACAUUUUUAUGGAUGCUUGUUAAUGCAACCUUAACAUGCUUUUCAUGAGCUUUCUUCCAAUCCUAUCCUCGUCAAAGAUCUCAGUAUUUUGCAAUUUCAUGGAUUUUCGAUUUGACGGUUCACAAAUAGAUUCGAUGGAGAAUAUUUGAUGAUUUCACAUUUUUUGGUACUCCUUUUGGUUGUAUCAUUGUUACUGGAGUCCAUUUCCAUGGAGUUCUAGUUGUUCAACAAGGCCCUUACUUCUUCAGGUUGUUGAAGAAGAUUGGUUUGGAAGCUCAAUAUCCGGAUCGCUCUUAGCGCAUUUACACGCCACUCAGUUACUGCUUUGGUGAGUCCUCAUCAGUCGAGAACUAGUUAUCCUAUCAACUAUUCAUUUUAGUAGUUUUCACUUUAUCUUAUUUCAGUUAGUCAGAAUUAGUUGGGGACCUGUCCCAACAACUCAUCAUGUUUAGAGGCUUUUAGACAGUCAGACAAUCAGAUGUGUUUCAGUUUGAUGUAUUUUUUUCAGAUAUCAUUAGUAUUGCUUUGAUUAUUAGAUGUUUCAGUA